AUGUCCCUAUCAUCUGUGCUACUGUUGUUGGGUGCUGCAUUCAGUGUUCAUUCAUUCGAGCUCACUCAGCCAGCAUCACUGACUCUCCAGCCAGGUAACAGCUUGGCCAUCAACUGUAAAGUGUCCUAUUCAGUUACCAGUUAUGGCACAGCUUGGAUUCGACAGCCAUCAGGGAAAGCUCUGGAGUGGAUCAAUAUCAUCUGGAGUGGUGGUAGCACAGCAAAUAAAGACUCACUGAAAAACAAGUUCAGUGUCUCCAGAGACACCUCCAGUUACACAGUCACCCUGCAAGGCCAGAAUCUGCAGGCUGAAGACACAGCUGUGUAUUACUGUGCUCGUUACCCACAGCAUAACAAUAAGCUACAAUGCUGUACCAAAACCUCCCACACAUAG